rnacentral:rRNA from 1 species
AGACCGAUAGCGAACAAGUAGAGUGAUCGAAAGAUGAAAAGUACUUUGGAAAGAGAGUCAAAUAGCACGUGAAAUUGUUGAAAGGGAAGCGCUUGCAGCCAGACUUGCCCGCAGUUGCUCACCCAGGCUCUCGCCUGGGGCACUCUUCUGCGGGCAGGCCAGCAUCAGUUUGGGCGGUCGGAUAAAGGCCUCUGUCAUGUACCACCCUUCGGGGUGGCCUUAUAGGGGAGGCGUAAUGCGACCAGCCCGGACUGAGGUCCGCGCAUCUGCUAGGAUGCUGGCGUAAUGGCUGUAAGCGGCCCGUCUUGAAACACGGACCAAGG